rnacentral:rRNA from 1 species
UACGAAGGGGGCUAGCGUUGCUCGGAAUCACUGGGCGUAAAGCGCACGUAGGCGGACUCUUAAGUCGGUGGUGAAAUCCUGGAGCUCAACUCCAGAACUGCCUUCGAUACUGAGAGUCUCGAGUCCGGGAGAGGUGAGUGGAACUGCGAGUGUAGAGGUGAAAUUCGUAGAUAUUCGCAAGAACACCAGUGGCGAAGGCGGCUCACUGGCCCGGUACUGACGCUGAGGUGCGAAAGCGUGGGGGGCAAACAGG